rnacentral:lncRNA from 1 species
UAUGGUCCCAGAAGCCCAAGUACCUAAACCUAGCUCAUCUGAAGGGAGCAAGGUCAAGAUGACUGACUAUUUGAAGUUGGAUGCUCCUAAGUAUGAAACAGGUGAUGAUCCAUUCGAGUACCUCAGGACAGUCAAGAUGAUAACAGAUGAGUUAGGGGCAGAUGACAGUAGAGCCAUUCAGAUGGCUGGGUUCACACUGAAGUGCAAGAAGGCCCGAGAGUGGUUUAAAAACUAUGUGAACCCGAGGUUGGAUAGCCUAUCAUGGGAG